rnacentral:rRNA from 1 species
UACGUAGGGACCAAGCGUUGUUCGGAUUUACUGGGCGUAAAGGGCGCGUAGGCGGCGCGGUAAGUCACUUGUGAAAUCUCUGAGCUUAACUCAGAACGGCCAAGUGAUACUGCAGUGCUAGAGUGUGGAAGAGGCAAUCGGAAUUCUUGGUGUAGCGGUGAAAUGCGUAGAUAUCAAGAGGAACACCUGAGGUGAAGACGGGUUACUGGGCCAACACUGACGCUGAGGCGCGAAAGCCAGGGGAGCAAACGGG